rnacentral:misc_RNA from 1 species
AAAGGGCAGUCAAACAAAAUCCCAUCCUUAAGACUCGGUAAUUCAUGGUUCAAAAAAAAUGAAAUUAAAAAACCUAGGAGUUCAGGCUCUCUUGGGCUUCUUUGAGCCACCUUCUUUCUUAUCAGCCCCUGCAACCUUUUUCUUGUCCUUUCUUUCCCUCUUCUUUAAAGAAGUCAUGUGAGCCUUGAGAAUAGUUGCAUAUGAAGCCUGAAAGCGCUGGUGAUCCUUUGGUCCAACUGAAGUAGAGAUUGUCUUCUUGCCAUUGGUUGCACGGAUUA